rnacentral:rRNA from 1 species
GCAGGUCUCGCUCAACAGACUUCCAAACAACGUGAUACUGGCACAAACGUCUUCGGUUGGGGCGACCGCGGGAGAGAAAAAAGCUCCCGAGAGGAUUGGGGCUACCCUAAAACCAAGAGCUACACCUCUAAGUCACAAAACAUUUGACCAAAAAUGAUCCGGCUACAUGCCGAUUAACGAACCAAGUUACCCUAGGGAUAACAGCGA